rnacentral:lncRNA from 1 species
GCAGCGACAGUGCCCAGGGCUCUGAUGUGUCUCUCACAGCUUGAAAAGCCUGAGACAGCUGCCUGUGUGGGACUGAGAUGCAGGAUUUCUUCACACCUCUCCUUUGUGACUUCAAGAGCCUCUGGCAUCUCUUUCUGCAAAGGCACCUGAAUGUGUCUGCGUUCCUGUUAGCAUAAUGUGAGGAGGUGGAGAGACAGCCCACCCCCGUGUCCACCGUGACCCCUGUCCCCACACUGACCUGUGUUCCCUCCCCGAUCAUCUUUCCUGUUCCAGAGAGGUGGGGCUGGAUGUCUCCAUCUCUGUCUCAAAUUCAUGGUGCACUGAGCUGCAACUUCUUACUUCCCUAAUGAAGUUAAGAACCUGAAUAUAAAUUUGUGUUCUCAAAUAUUUGCUAUGAAGCGUUGAUGGAUUAAUUAAAUAAGUCAAUUCCUAGAAGUUGAGAGAGCAAAUAAAGACCUGAGAACCUUC